CCUUAACUUUUAACUUCCAAACACCAAGCCAAAAUGAGAAAGAAGGAAUCUGUAAAGAGACACGGCCGAUUUAAAAACAAAUGAUAAACCGCUGAUGAGACAAAGACGCAGACACGACUACCUCCAGCGACACCCGAACCCCAAGUUCCACAAGAGGAACAAGCUCUACCCGACGGUGCGAGCAGCUCCAGAUGCCAAUCAACAACACCGUAGCCCUGUAUUCGACGUUCCUGACUCUCCAACUAGGGAGCAAAGCACACAAAACCUUGAAAUGAGUUGUGACAGCAAACAACCAGGUACACACCAACCUACGGUCGAAGAGCCUGCUAGCAAAGAUGCCAAAGCCAAGCGAGCUCGAAAGAGAACAUGGGUCAGAAGGGGGAAGCAUGUCCUCUCACUGGCUGAAUCCGGGUUGCGCGGCCACCUCACUUUCUAAGACGCUUCGGAGAAGGAAUGGUAUGUGGAAGUCUGUAAACUCCCCAUCGUAAGAGGUCAAAAAGAUGCACCCAGUAUCCUCUCCAAAACCGAGCUAUACUUCCUAUAGUGCAUGCUUAACAAGAAAAGAGUCAACCUCGAUUUUUGGUUCACAUGCUAGUUUUCCAAUGUUAUUUCCUUUAAACGGCCACUAAUCCUAGGAUCAAUCAUUCCCCGAAUUGCCCUCUCUUUCAGUAACUUUGAUAUGGAGGAGAUUGACUUGCACAUAGCUUGCCCUUAAACUGCCUUGGAUUUUGGGCUCCUUGGAUGACAUGAGACUGCUACAUCUUAAGGAUGACAUCUAAUUCUUUGCCUCGCCUGGCCCACUUGUGCCCAGAAACAUGUGAGUGUACAAUAAAAAGAAAAAGCAAACAGAGCCUGAUGCCCCAGAAUUUACUGCCACAACACCUUCUGCCACCAAACCUGCAUUAGCGGACAUCCACCAGCUCCUACAAAGAGUAUUGUUGCAUGUUCAAAAGAUAGAUGGAUGCCUGUUUCACCUCAAGAAUUUGGCCCACCAACUUUCGGGAAGGGUUGAGGAGCUAGUCUAUUCAAUAGCCCAAACGAUGAAGGACGCCCCUUGCCCCAGAACCAGAUGAUGCUUCCAGUGUGCCCUGUCUCCGAGUUACCACACAAGGGGAGUUAAUCUAUCCCUUCAUUUUUCUUUUACCACUCGUUUUCUUUGCAUCGCAUUGAAGACAAUGUGUAGUUUAAGUGUGGGAGAGGGAUAUACUGCAUUUUUAGUUCCAUUUUGAUAUUCGGCUACAUUAUCUUUGUUGCAUUCAAACCUUUCUCACGACACCCACUGAUGCACACUUUAGCCUUGCCCAAGGCACACCACUAAAAACAGUUUUUCAAUAGUUUUUCACCCCAUCCUUUUCACUACUGUCUUAGUUAUUCCUAAAAUAACUCAACUGUGAUACUUAAAGAAUUGAAUUGCAUUCACAAUAAUCUUCUAGGACUUUUAACUUGUUGCAUUCAUACAUUAUCUUUGAUUAUGUGUCUUGAUAUGCCUUUUUUAGGAAUUGCCUCUAAUUGAUUUUUUUUCUUACUCUUAAUUGAAUGUUGAUACUUAAGAAAACUCUAUUACAACCUGUCUUGAUUUGUAUGCGUAAUAAUCUUAAGGUUCAUGACUAAAAGAUUCAAAAAAAGGGGGGGAGAGCACAAAUAAUAAUCUAGUCCUUUAGUCAAUUAAUUAUGAAUAGUGCUAGUAGCCACUUGAACUUGUGACCAACUGAGAAACUGAGUACAUUCAUCACAAAUGUUUGUUCUCGUAUCAAAAGGUUAAUGACAUUUCAAGCACACAAUAAAAGUUCUCGAUUAAUUGCAAUUAAAUUUUCUAUUCUACCAUGAACCAAUUGCAUGAAAUACUUAUAUUUGAACUAGUAUAGUGUGAAUGUUAUACUAGAUGUUGAUUGUUCUUCUCAAGAAAAAAUAAAUGUGUUCAAAAACUUACAAAACAUUUCCAUUUUAUGCUCGGGUACUAUCUAGAGUUAUUUAGUGGUGUGAUUCUAUGAAAUGCAAGUUUAGAAAUUACUAGUUGAUGACUGUAUUUAUAAUUUAAGGAUUGAGAUAUAACAUACGAGUUGAGGGAAUAGCUAGGGACAAUUGGCUUGAGGGUGAAAGGUUAAGAACUAUUGAAUGGUAUUGUGGGGUACUUGAGGGCAAGCACAAGAUAAGUGUGGGGAAGUUUGAUAGUACGUAUAAAAACAUUUUUAUCAUUUAUUUUGAAUACAUGAUUGAGCUAUUUAUUACCUAAUUAGGUGAUUUUAUUUGUUUUGAUGAGGGAUAAAAGUCAAAUUCAGGAAAGCAGCGUAGUAGAAAUAGAUUUGCAUAGAAAUAGUCAUCAACCUAGUAUAAGCCUCAGGCAAUGCUUAAGCCCUAACAUGAACAGCAGAUGUUAGUUUGAGAACAAUCAAGCCUCGGGCAAGGCUUGCACUCUUGUGUUAGUAAAAAGCACCAGUUCACACGCAGAUAACCUUAUGGCAAAGCUAACACCCUAGCAGCAGUAAUAAAUAUCAGAUCAUGCACAAACAAGCCUCGGGCAAGAUUUAGACCCUGCAGUAGUAGUAGAUACUGAUAUCCCAGACACUUUAAAAUUUAAAAAGAUCAUGUUUUUAUCUGGAAGCAAAAAACCUAAUCAAGCAAAAGACGACUUUGAAAAGCAGAAAGAAAGCCGAAAUCAUCAUGAAAAAUCCAGUCUCCACAAGAGGAAACCAUGAUGCUCUCGGUCUUUAAAUAGGAAGAAAAAGAGAAAAAAGAGGAGCUACCAAGAAGAACAACAGACUUUGGUUUUUCGAAUUAUUUUUUCUAUCUAUAAUCACUGAAACAAUUUUUUCAAUUAGAAAUUUAGUUGAAGUUCUAGUUUUGAAUUGUGAGAUCUAAAUAAUUUUUUGUUCUUAUUUAAACUUUAGUAUUUAUAUAUCUUUUUGCACAUAUUAUUAUUAUUAUUUGUUGAUCGUUUGAUAGGGCCCAUUGAACGUGCAGCAUAGUAGCAUACUGCCAUUCAAAAUCCUAAAUCUGUAAUUGUUUAGGUUGUCUUGAUGAUUAGUGGUGAAUUAGUUUCCUAUGUAAUAUAGUUUGAAUGAAUCAUGCGGUUGAAUUCAUUAAUUAGAAUCAUGUCUUUCUAACUUUUAAUGUUGUUAGUAAAUUAAACUUUAUGUGCGUUUUUAGGGUUGUUUAUUUAAAAAGAUUAACUAACGAGUCUCUUGAUUAGUGUAGAAUUAAGAAAAUAUUAAUUGUUAUGAGCGUAUCCGACAACUAGAACUGGUUUAUUGAAGUUUGAUGAAAACAAUUAGUGCAUCAAUGAUCAAUCCUACAACUAGAAUCAAAACUACUUCUUUAACUAGAAUCCACUCAUAGUUGUUUGUUACUUCAAUCACUUGUUGAUAACAUUUUCUAUUUUUUGUUUUAAGUUUAUUUGAUUUAUUUUAAUUCUUUGUAUUGUCUUGGAACAAAAACCCUAGCUUUGUUUUUAUCAUUGGUCAUAAAAGAAAAGUGGUUCUCAAUUUCCUGAGGAUUCGACCUUAUUCGCGAUUAAUACAAAAUUUGAAUUGUUGUCAGAAUAUGAUAUUAUUUUUGGUGGAUUUGAUACCCAUCAAAAGAAAAACCAAGCAAAAGAGAAGGAAAUAAAGAAGAAAGCUAUGGCCAAAGGAGGCCACACCCGAUGGGCUUAGAUAGUAACUAAGAACAUCCCUGGAUUCUACAAAAAUUUUAAGAAGAAAAACUUACGAAUUAAGUUGGGACUCUGCUAGAAUUAAAGUUUCAUAUUAUCUUUAAAAAAAAUGAUUAAAAUUAAUGGGAGACUUUGCUUGAUUGAAAAGUGAAAAUGAAGUGUUCUUAAGGGGAGACUCAACCCGAAGAAACAGAGAAUUUCAGAGAUUAUAUAAAGGGGGACUCUACCUAAACCGACAUUUGAGUUAAAAAGACACAAGGAAAGGUUUGAUUAGGAUCUUAGGUACAUGGAUAUUCUGACAUUCGUGGCAUGUGUAUUUUUGAAGUAUUUUAAGUAUUUUUUGUAUAGUUAAUUGUGAAAGUGUUCUUACAUGCUUUUGUAUUAAUGAUGUGUUCAUUUAAUUUGAUAUGAGUAUUAUAUGUUUAUUUGUUUCAAACAUAAGUGUUAUAUGAUUUAGAAAAGUGUUUUCGAUAUGUGUGCAUCAAUGAUUGAGGAGGCGAGUAAUUAUGUUCCACCUCUGUCAUGCUAGGCCUCAGUGUGAGCUGAAUGCCCUAUCAUCCCAUGUUUGGGGGGCGGGGGUACUAGUCUUACAGUGUGCCCACACCUGUCGUUCUGUGUUCAGGGGUGUUGGAAAGUGAUAAGUGCCACACAUGUUGUUCAAUGUUCUUGUAUGUUGGGAAGUGAUAAGUGAGUCCACAUAUGUCAUUUUAUGUUUGGGGGUGUUGAGAAGUGAUAAGUGCCCAUACAUAUCAUUCCACAUUCAAGUGUGUUAGGAAGUGAUAAGUGAGCCCCACCUGUCGUUCUGUGUUCGAGAGUGUUAGAAAGUGAUAAACUAAUGUGAUAUUGGAUGAGAAUAACUCCUAUGACAAAUGGAAAAGUCACUUAAGAGGCUAUUUCUGUAAUCCUAGCAGUUGCAGAUAUGCAGCGAUAAGAGGCCGUAAGCUCUCACUAAGUAAUAUGCCUCAAGAGCACACUAAGAAGUUUCCACGAAUGGAGAUUGACGGUGAAGAAUCUCACCAAGUCCACACAACAAAAGGAAGUAACUUCGGGUAUGCUUUGUUUCCUAAAA